rnacentral:lncRNA from 1 species
AUAUACCCUCCCAUAAGAGCAGGAAAGGGGAUUCAUAAAGACGUUCUUCUGAUGGGGAAUGCUCUACGAGGCCGCCUUCACAUGUGUGGAAGAUGAUCAAAGUAUGACAUUUCUUCUACCCCAGAGGCUGGCAUUUCUGCAGGCACAAAUGAGCUUGGUUUUCAAGCACUGCUCUUUGAACACAAGGAAUUCCUUUAAUGAUCACGCCGGACUAUAUAGACUUUGGAAUCAGACUCUUUGAAUUCCAGCUCUGCCAUUUACCAACUUUGACACUUUGGACAACGUCUCAUUCUGUCACCCAGGCUGGAGUGCAGUGGCACAAUUAUAGCUCACUGCAGCCUCAAACACCUGGGCUCAAGCAAUCCUUCCACCUCUGCCUCCUGAGUAAUUGGGACUACAGGGUUUUGGAAAUCUGGAUUGUAGCAGGGCAUUGUAAGUUAAAAAAUCAUCUUCCCAUUCUGUUCUUUGCAAAGAUAUUUCUGUUCCUUAAAUUUGUUGAGGGUAAGAGAUUGCAGAUUGCUUCUGUGGACUUCUUGAAGGUGGAUCUGCCUGUUGGUGGAGAACCCUAGACUGCAUGCAGCCAUGCACAUGAUCUGGAGACACAGCAGGUUGUACCAGAAGCAGGGCUGAGGAGGCCUUAGGAAACUUAAAAUCAUGGCGGAAGGCAAAGGGGAAACAGGUCAUCCUCAGCAUUUAUACUCUCUCUCCUUUUGUGCCCCCAUGGACCAAGUUAAGAAGGUGUAGGCUUCAAAUCUUAAGAUCGGUCACCACAAAAUUCAAAAAGACAAGGUCUUUGUCUGUUGCUCAGGAUGGAGUGUAGUGGUGCCAUAGCACACUGUAAUCUUGAAUUUCUGGACUACUGGCAUACACCACCAUGCUUAGGUUCGGGCCACAACAUCCGUGACUUUACCGGUUUUGGUCUCUUCCUUGUAACUUUCGGCUCCAGGAUGCUGCGCAGCUCCUCUCUGCACUAUCUAUCAGAACGUUGCUCUGCGUGCUUGAAAGUUUCGCCAAACAGAAGUACACAAAAACAAACAGAGGCGAAACACAAAUCCCCUCAGCCCUGGAGGAAAAGGCCUUGAAGCUCUUCCAGUGCAGAGGCCACGCAGAGGACAUGCUCCUACCUGUGCACAUCGGCCACGCCUGGGGUGCCUCCUGGAGUCCAGGCUGCUGGCGAUGGAAUCCAUCAUGUUGCUGAUGUCACUACUCUCAACUCCUGAUGGCAUCAGAACACAGGCAGCAUCAAGAUCAGGCUCAAGAUGCAGGAUUUUAUCAUCCAAAUCAGGCCCACAUAUGGAUGAAACCCUUCAGGUAUUCUGCACAUCUCUCAGGAAACCCAGAUGAAAUUGAGUGCCUGCUGCCCACAUCAGCAACCCAGACAUCCCACUUGAUUCUGCUUCUGGAGCCUAAGAUGGGAAAAUGGCAGGUGUCGCAGGUUGCAGGGGAAGGUCGGAGACCAGUUGAGGGCCCCGGAGUCUGUCUGGAAAGAGUUUUCCAUCCAGCCCGUCUCGGUUUCCGCAUCCGUGUGAGUCCUUUAUGACGUCGGGAAUGCCAAGGUCUGAGUCCUUUAUGAUGUUCAGGGUGCCCCGGUCUCACCCCGGGAGCCUCCUCGCUCCGGCCUGCUCCUGGCUACCCGGUGGGCGGCUCUGGCCCCAGCGACCCGCUACUGUUUCUCCAUGCGCUGCCACUUCGCAAAGGCACAUCUCUAGGUCAGUGGUCAGCUGCAGCCAGGGCGCUGCAACUCGCUCCAGGACUCGGGAAUCAGGGCCUUGGUGGGCCUCGCAGAGUGCUGGGUGUGUCGCCUGCGGGCUCCUCUUUUGGAGAAAGGAGGGAGGGAAAGGCCUUGUGAGACGACUCCAGGAGCGACCAGCGACCCCCACAAGGCCCAAGUCCUCCCAGCGCACUCAGAAACAGUCACUUAAAUGGCAAUAAGGUUGAGAAAGACUCUCCCGUGCCCCCGUGCUGGUGUAGUGGCUGUGAUUCAGUCCUUUCACCACCGCAUCCCGGGUUCGAUUACCGGUCAGGGAGUUGUUUUGCACUGACUGCCCACCCGCAGUAAUCUUUCUUUACUCCGCUGUCAGCCGGCCUGCUCCAAGAGCCAGAGGCAGAAGAGUCUCCCUGCAAGGUGCAAACCCUGGCGAAGGAGGGCAAGUCCUGGUGGACGGCCUCUCAUGACACACCCUCUUAUUUAUCUCCGUGUCCACCAUUCGCAGAAGGGGCUUUAGAGAGCGACUGAGCGUCUCGCUCAGGUGUACACCACCGUGCAGAGAUGGCAGCUCUCCUGGAGGUGUACCCAAGAAGCCCACCAUCUUUGCCGCCUCCGCCAUCCCAGAGGCGCCGAUUGGGCUGAGCUGCAAAUAACUAAGAGAGAGAGAGGCCAAGCCAAGUCGUGGCGUUUGUGUGCGGCACACGUCGUCAGCUGACACAGGCGGUCAGCUGAGCCUCCUCACCUCAGUUCGCAGCUAACAUGCUUCUUAGGCCUUCGGAAGAGGCGACAGGAGGCGAUGGCCGCGAGGUUGGGAGGGGGGUGAGCGGCGGGUGAGGUCCUCCAGGACCGCCCAUUUAUUGACUGGGUGGUACAGGAGGGCGAUGUUCGCUUACCCAACAACGACAGCAGGUGGAGUAGGCACUAAUGGAAAACUGUGGCCGGUGCCCUAAGCAGAAGGCAGGUGUAAAAAUCACUAGGACAUCAAAGGGAUAGUACCACAGUCAAAUCCCGCAAUGUCUGUCUACACUCUACCAAGCAAUUGUGCACCCUCCCCCUUUUCCAUUCAGUACUCCCAAGAAGGGUUGGGACGAACCCUGUGUCCACUGUAAAGCUCAGGGGAGAGCGGGAGCGAGGGAGGUGAAGUGCACAGACUGGGCAGAGGCGGCGGGCAGAACUGCGGGGGUGAGAGGGCGCGGUGGCUGCGGGGCGGGAGCCUCUGCUGAAAGGAGGCCUGGGUUGUCCUGUGGGUGACUGUUGGUGGAAUCUUUGGCAGCGAGUGGUUGGAAGAAUGGCGACGGGCGAGCAGAGGGGAAGGUGGUGACCCUGAGCGUCUGGCUAGGGGAGAGGAGGCUGUACUGACACUCGUCUCCUCUUACCUGGCGAGGGACAGACCGUGGUCAAGAAGGGAGCUCUCCCUGGUUGAGGCUAGUCCACCACACUCCAGCUGCUCUGACCCCUGCGAUUUCCCUACACGCGGGGCGCUUGUCUGCGGUGGUGUUUGCGCUACCCGGGGGCUGGGUUCACGCAGGCUCCUGACAGUCCUUGGCUCACCGCCCCCGACGCGGAUAUCGCCGCUAGAGACCCUUCCGCCACCCUCCUAGGGAUCUUGAGGGCCUUCCUUGUUGUUCCGACUGAAGCUCACGAACAGACAGAUGUGAGCUCUCUGUCUUUUACACGUUGAAUUUGGCUAUUGGCAAAAAAAGCCCUGACCCAGAGCUUGGGACUCCUCCCGGCCUGCACACGACUUCCCGACUCUUGCCUCCUAGCGCGGCUCUUGGCUAGCGGGCGGGCAGCCUCCACCCAGCGUAGAACCGCGGCAGCCGCAGCCCCCGCAGGCUGGCGGUCAGACACUAGCAGGAAAAGGGACACAAGGCCUGCGUGGUGGGAAAGCAUGGGAGACGUCGCUUUCCCACCAGGCGAGAAGGUCUCCCUACAGUCUUUGGACAGAAGAUGGAGGGAGGCACCCCUUCCAGGAGCAAGGCGGCUGCUCCUGAGGCCUGGCUCCGCACGGAGGCUCCUGGGUCCCGCGCGCCCUCUCCCUACCGGUUAUAGCCAGAGCUGCUUCACACAUCUCAGCCGGCUUCCUCUUCCGCCUCUGCCACCUCUUCCUCCCCAGCUCGUGGGAAAGACCUAGCCUCCUCUCCAACACUUGGAGAGGGAGUUGGAUGAACGUCUCCUAACCCCAGUAGGACAGAGAUCCUGAGGUAGGAGGGGACCCCUUGCCUUGCUGCUUCUUUUGGCACCGCUGACCCGGGCCCAGGACUCCUCGCUCCUCCUGGAAGGCCUGGGUCGUGUAGCCCACAGAGGUGGCCACGUGGGCAUCUCCCCCACUGCUCCUCAUAGAACCGGAGGCAUUAUCCUGCCGGGCCCACUCUUACCCAUGAAAGAAACUUGGGAAAUGCUCCCGGGGAAGCCGGGGAUCUGGGCGCUCGACCACUUCGGUGUGAAUCUUCCGUCCGCUCAUCCUUCCUUCGGAGGGUCUUGGGGAGAGGAGAAAUGCUCAAGGACGAUGCGCUUUGCAGCGUCUCAAGGGAAACUAGAUCUCAACGGAUACCAGAAGUCUGGAGCGUCUUCCUGGAGGAAGGCGGCCCGAGGCCUGCGGUUGCAGGGAGGCUUGCGGAGCACAGCGCCCUCUCUCAGCCUGAGCUAUCCAGUGGCUUCCAGCAUCCCAGCUGGCCGACUCCACUUCCUCUCUCUUCCUCCUACUGCGGGUCUUCUUCUUCUCUUUGGGGACCGAAUCUCGCUCUGUCGCCCAGGCUGGAGUGCAGUGGCGCGAUCUCGGCUUACUGCAACCUCCGCCUCCCGGGUUGAAGCGAUUCUCCUGCCUCAGCCUCCCGAAUAGCUGGGACUACAGGCGCGUGCCACCACGCCCGGCUAAUUUUUUGUAUUUUUAGUUGAGACGGGGUUUCACCCUGUUAGCCAGGAUGGUCUCGAUCUCCUGGCCUCUUGAUCCGCCCGCCUCGGCCUCCCAAAGUGCUGGGAUUACAGGCGUGAGCCUCCGCGCCCGGCCUACUGCGGCUCUUCUAUCCUGGUGUUCUUUGAAUGCCUAUCUUCCUUUUGUGCCACAGAACCUCUCACGCCCGCCACAGGUUGCUCAUUUCCUUGGUUGUUCUGAACUUUAAAUAAGUUAAUGUAUGUAAGAGUGCCAUAAAUGCUCAGUAAUUGACAUCUGUUAUUUUCAUCAGUAACAUCAUCUGAAUCAUCUGUAUUGUCUAUUUUUAACAACUGCAUUUUUCAUUGUCCAAAUAAAGUCACAUACAUUUGAACAUUAUAUAAUGAUUGAAUAAUAAAAUUAUUCUGCUAUUUUACAAUAAAAA